ACCAGACUCCUACGGGAGGCAGCAGUGGGGAAUAUUGCACAAUGGGGGAAACCCUGAUGCAGCAACGCCGCGUGGGUGAAGGAGCGUUUCGGCGCGUAAAGCCCUGUCAGCGGGGAAGAAGAAAGACGGUACCCGACUAAGAAGCCCCGGCUAACUACGUGCCAGCAGCCGCGGUAAUACGUAGGGGGCGAGCGUUAUCCGGAUUUACUGGGUGUAAAGGGAGCGUAGACGGCGUCGCAAGUCUGAAGUGAAAGCCCGUGGCUCAACCGCGGAACCGCUUUGGAAACUGCGAGGCUGGAGUGCUGGAGAGGUAAGCGGAAUUCCUGGUGUAGCGGUGAAAUGCGUAGAUAUCAGGAGGAACACCGGUGGCGAAGGCGGCUUACUGGACAGUGACUGACGUUGAGGCUCGAAAGCGUGGGGAGCGAACAGGAUUAGAUACCCGGGUA
rnacentral:rRNA from 1 species